rfam:Oryza glumipatula chromosome 6, whole genome shotgun sequence.
AGAAAAGGAAAAUUUGGAUUUCCGUGUCCAAUUUUGACUGUCCGUCUUAUAUGGAAUUUUUUUAUAAUUCGUAUUUUCAUUGUUGUUAUCAUUAUUAUUAGAUGAUAAAACAUGAUUAAUAUUUUAUGCGUGACUUGUCUUUUUUAUUUUUUUCGUAAUUUUUUCAAAUAAGACGAACGGUCAAACGUUGGACACGGAAAUCAGGGUUUGUCUUUUU